AGCGAACGCUGGCGGCAGGCCUAACACAUGCAAGUCGAACGAACCUUUCGGGGUUAGUGGCGGACGGGUGAGUAACACGUGGGAACGUGCCUUUAGGUUCGGAAUAACUCAGGGAAACUUGUGCUAAUACCGAAUGUGCCCUUCGGGGGAAAGAUUUAUCGCCUUUAGAGCGGCCCGCGUCUGAUUAGCUAGUUGGUUGAGGUAAUGGCUCACUAAGGCGACGAUCAGUAGCUGGUCUGAGAGGAUGAUCAGCCACAUUGGGACUGAGACACGGCCCAAACUCCUACGGGAGGCAGCAGUGGGGAAUCUUGCGCAAUGGGCGAAAGCCUGACGCAGCCAUGCCGCGUGAAUGAUGAAGGUCUUAGGAUUGUAAAAUUCUUUCACCGGGGACGAUAAUGACGGUACCCGGAGAAGAAGCCCCGGCUAACUUCGUG
rnacentral:rRNA from 1 species